rnacentral:rRNA from 1 species
AUUGAACGCUGGCGGCAGGCCUAACACAUGCAAGUCGAGCGAGCGGCGGACGGGUGAGUAAUGUAUGGGGAUCUGCCCGAUCGAGGGGGAUAACUACUGGAAACGGUGGCUAAUACCGCAUACUGUCGGAUGAACCCAUAUGGGAUUAGCCAGUAGGUGGGGUAAAGGCUCACCUAGGCCACGAUCACUAGCUGGUCUGAGAGGAUGACAAGCCAAACUGGGAAGGAGACACGGCCGAGAAUCCUAGGGGAGGCAGCAGUGGGGAAUAUUGCACAAUGGGCGCAAGCCUGAUGCAGCCAUGCCGGGUGUAUGAAGAAGUCCUGAGGGUUGUAAAGUACUUUCAGCUGUGAGGCGUUACCCGCAGAAGAAGCACCGGCUAACUCCGUGCCAGCAGCCGCGGUAAUAC